rnacentral:misc_RNA from 1 species
UUUCCGUAGGUGAACCUGCGGAAGGAUCAUUAAAGUUAUAGUCCCCCGGCCCUCUGGGCUGGGGUCUUCUAUACCACCCUUUGUUUAUUACACCUUUGUUGCUUUGGCAGGCCUGCCCUCGGGCUGCCGGCUCCGGCCGGCUCGCGUCUGCCAGAGGACCUAAACUCUGUUUGUAUAUGAAGUCUGAGUACUAUAUAAUAGUUAAAACUUUCAACAACGGAUCUCUUGGUUCUG